rnacentral:lncRNA from 1 species
UUGAGGCUUACCUUUUGGCCCAUCCUGAUUACAACUGAUCCUCUUCAUCACUAUUCAGUCAGCAACGACCUUGCUUUAUAUUAUAUACAAGAGUUUUCUUGCCUUGUGUGGAGCUUUAUCCAAUCACUGUGUGUGGUGUGUGCUUAAGUUAAAAACUUGCCUUCCAAUUAAUGUAACGAGUGUUUCCUUUCUCAUUUCCUUUUGCCACAGAAUUGUGAGAGUCAGUUGAUAUCUUUGUAUGUGACUUCAAUAAAUUUUAAUAAAAGAAAGCAUCAUUUAAA